rnacentral:lncRNA from 1 species
GACACUAUUCAUUCGCCAGAGUUUGCGGUUUCUUCUUCCCCUCUCGCUCGCUGAAAUCGCCCCCAAAUCCACCCGUUGCCGCUGCCCAAAUUCGCCUCGCCGCUGCCCAAAUCGGUGCUCUCGAGCGGGGUUCGGCAUCGCAGGGGGUCGCCGGUUGGAGUUGUUGUCCCGCACGGCACGCUGGCCGCGGGGAGCGGCUCUCGCUCGCGAGCUCGGCGACCGUGCAAUGCUCGACUCGCGGGGUGGGGGACUGUUGCGAAGUGAGAUUGCCCUCAUUUUGUGCGGUUGCGAAGGAAGGAGACGGUACUGCGACGCGAAGGUAACACCCGCUCAUAUCUCUACAUUGCCGGCGGUGGUAGUUUCUCGCGUUCAUCACUGCCUAGGGCACGCAGUGCUUCCAUCCAUUUUGCUAGUCGAUUCAGUCGAUCCUAUGGUCUAGGUAGGUUUUAUCGUAGAUUUCGAGGUUUGUUGGCAGCGGCGUUGGUUAGGUUAGGUAAUGGGGUAUCGAAUCUCCAUAUCCGUCGAUCUAUGUUCAUGCGAGCGCCGGAUUCGCGUGAUUUCGUGGUCGAACUAGUUUGAGGGUUCGUGUGCGCCCUCACCCCUCCCCUUUUUACCCCGUGCAGAUGCUUUUCCAGCGUUUUUGCUGGUGAUUUUUGUUGUAGCAGGCAAGUUUAUCAUCACCAUCAGGCAAGUCAUGUCACGGGGUGUUAGUAGGUUUUUCUGUGCCAGGGCAAUUUCAUGCUAACUGUCAGGCAACUUAUGGCAGGCGUGUGUUUUCAUUUUAGUGUUUUUUGUGACUGGGCAAGUUCAUGCCAACCGUCAGGAAACUUAUGGCAGGCGUGUGUUUUCAUUUUAGUGUUUUCUGUGACCGGGCAAGUUCAUCCCAACCGUCAGGCAACUUAUGGCAUGGGUUUUUGGGUGUAGUAGUUUUCCCAUUUUUUGCUGAUGCUGGAGUGUUAUUACAGACCACGCAAGUACAUGCUCUAUAUGAGGCAAGCUAUGGGAAUGAUUGGUUGUAGGUCGUGAGUUUUAUCAGUAGUUGGCAUGCACAACCACGUUCGAUGUUUUAUCAUCGGUGCAGGCAUCAAUGUGUGCCAUAAAACAAUGUUCUAUUUUUUGCUCGGCAAAUCUACCUAUAUGAUCUUCGUUUUUUUGCAUGGGCUGAUAGGAGUGCUGAUAAUCAGCAAAUUGCUACAUAACCAGACAUUUUUUUAUCCUGAUAAUCAGGCAAUUUGCAUGCUCAUAAUCAGACAUUUCUUGCAUGACUUUUUUUGUGCUUUACAUUUUGUAUGCUGAUAAGGUAUGUAACUGCUUUUUUAAACUGCUUUUUUUACAGGUAAAGAUGACUAAACCAAGUAAAAAGUGUGAUCGACAGCAGUCAGCAGAGUCAUCGCUUGACUCGG